ACGGAAGGCAGCAGUUGGGAAUAUUGGGCAAUGGGCGCACGCCUGACCCAGCAACGCCGCGUGAAGGAAGCAGGCUUUCGGGUUGUAAACUUCUUUUGUCAGGGAAUAGUAGAAGACUGCACCUGGCGAAUAAGCCACGGCUAACUACGUGCCAGCAGCCGCGGUAAUACGUAGGUGGCAAGCGUUGUCCGGAUUUACUGGGUGUAAAGGGCGUGUAGCCGGGUCGGUAAGUCAGAUGUGAAAUCCACGGGCUCAACUCGUGAACUGUAUUUGAAACUGCUGAUCUUGAGUAUCGUAGAGGCAAUCGGAAUUCCUUGGGUAGCGGUGAAAUGCGUAGAUAUAAGGAGGAACACCAGUGGCGAAGGCGGAUUGCUGGACGACAACUGACGGUGAGGCGCGAAAGCGUGGGGAGCAAACAGGAUUAAAUACCCUGGUA
rnacentral:rRNA from 1 species